rnacentral:rRNA from 1 species
CGGACGGGUGAGUAACGCGUGAGAAUCUGCCUUCAGGAUGGGGACAACAAUUGGAAACGAUUGCUAAUACCCGAUAUGACGAAAGUUGAAAGAUUUAUCGCCUGGAGAUGAGCUCGCGUCAGAUUAGCUAGAUGGUGUGGUAAAGGCGCACCAUGGCGACGAUCUGUAGCUGGUCUGAGAGGAUGAGCAGCCACACUGGGACUGAGACACGGCCCAGACUCCUACGGGAGGCAGCAGUGGGGAAUUCUCCGCAAUGGGCGCAAGCCUGACGGAGCAAUACCGCGUGAGGGAGGAAGGCUCUUGGGUCGUAAACCUCUUUUCUCAGGGAAGAACACAAUGACGGUACCUGAGGAAUCAGCAUCGGCUAACUCCGUGCCAGCAGCCGCGGUAAUACGGAGGAUGCAAGCGUUAUCCGGAAUGAUUGGGCGUAAAGCGUCCGUAGGUGGUUUUGUAAGUCUGUGGUUAAAGCGUGUAGCUCAACUACAUAACGGCCAUGGAAACUACAAGGCUUGAGUGAAGUAGGGGUAGAGGGAAUUCCCAGUGUAGCGGUGAAAUGCGUAGAGAUUGGGAAGAACACCGGUGGCGAAAGCGCUCUACUGGACUUAUACUGACACUGAGGGACGAAAGCUAGGGGAGCGAAAGGGAUUAGAUACCCCUGUAGUC